GAUGAACGCUAGCGGCAGGCUUAAUACAUGCAAGUCGUGGGGCAGCAGGGGUAGCAAUACCCGCUGGCGACCGACAAACGGGUGCGGAACACGUACGCAACCUUCCUUUAACUGGAGAAUAGCCCCUCGAAAGAGGGAUUAAUACUCCGUAACAUGUACAUGUGGCAUCACAAGUACAUUAUAGCUCCGGCGGUUAAAGAUGGGCGUGCGCCUGAUUAGAUAGUUGGNGGGGUAACGGCCCACCAAGUCUGCGAUCAGUAACUGGUGUGAGAGCACGACCAGUCACACGGGCACUGAGACACGGGCCCGACUCCUACGGGAGGCAGCAGUAAGGAAUAUUGGUCAAUGGACGCAAGU
rnacentral:rRNA from 1 species